GGUUUGCCAACCACCAUAAAACAUCUAAAGAAGUAGAAGAAGUAGAAUACAUUAGGAGGGUUCGCAGACUGGAAGUUCUUUUUCUGUCUCGGAGCGGUGUGGCGUUCGGCAUCCGAGAGAUCAUGAACUAGAUCUGCUCCGGUUGUGGCAGAGAUACGCUGAGAUCAAGCUUUUUGCGUCAACAUCUGUCUCCAGUUCAGGAGACAUUUGCCAUGUCUCCACUCAACAUUUGUCUUCAGUGCCAGAUUACAUCACUGUUAAAAGUUUGCCAAGUACCUUCCCCAUUCUGGCUGUCACUACUCUACUCUACCAAACCAUUUCCAUAAGGCCUAGUGCCCCACUGUGGGGCACGUGACAAACUUGGAUGAUGCACGACACUAAUAAUGGUAGCUCUUGACCGUAAACCUCAAGCAUGGAUUCUAGAUCAUCCAACUCCUUACAGGAGAGAUGCUGGUGAAUGCGGUCAUUAAUAGCAUCCCCCGUAUCGGUCAGGAGGCAGGCUGUAGAGAUGUCUUCCCUUUGCAGAAUCCACCAGUUGCUGUGUACUGGUGAGAGAGAAGCUGUUUUCUGGAACAUUGGGUGUGCAGAGUGUCUGGCCCAUGAGCUCAUCCGUGCCGCUGAGGGAUCAUCAAACACCAUCAAGAAAGAUGACCUGAGAAAACAUUGUGAUGCCCACCUUAUCCACCCCCCCCCCCCCCCCCCCCAAAAAAAAUUUGUUGCUUUCACGAGAACAAAAUUUGAAUAAACUUAUGAUUGUCAAUGUGUCAUACCAUUAUUUUUGAUAUCUACAAUAUCUGAAGAGGAAACACCCAUCAUUUUCAAACCCUGUUGUUUGACAAAUGUGUUUAUAUGCAUUUUUUUUUUUUGUAAUUUAACGUCACAUUGUCCAGGUAAAAUAAAAAAAAAAACACUUCUUGCAUGACCAAAAAAGAAACUUGGAUUACAUUAAGUGAAUGUAAUGUUAUAUUAAAACCAAAUCUAUACACAAGUUUAA